UACGAAGGGGGCUAGCGUUGCUCGGAAUCACUGGGCGUAAAGCGCACGUAGGCGGCUUUUUAAGUCAGAGGUGAAAUCCUGGAGCUCAACUCCAGAACUGCCUUUGAUACUGGAGAGCUUGAGUCCGGGAGAGGUGAGUGGAACUGCGAGUGUAGAGGUGAAAUUCGUAGAUAUUCGCAAGAACACCAGUGGCGAAGGCGGCUCACUGGCCCGGUACUGACGCUGAGGUGCGAAAGCGUGGGGAGCAAACAGGGAUUAAGAAACCCCAGUAACGU
rnacentral:rRNA from 1 species